rnacentral:rRNA from 1 species
CGGUAAAGAGCGGCGGACGGGUGAGUAACGCGUGGGUAACCUGCCCUGUACACACGGAUAACAUACCGAAAGGUAUGCUAAUACGAGAUAAAAUACUUUUAUCGCAUGGUAGAAGUAUCAAAGCUUUUGCGGUACAGGAUGGACCCGCGUCUGAUUAGCUAGUUGGUAAGGUAACGGCUUACCAAGGCGACGAUCGGUAGCCGGACUGAGAGGUUGAACGGCCACAUUGGGACUGAGACACGGCCCA